UCAACUUUUCCUUAUGUGGCAGAGAAUCAGCAGUGGACACAAACCCCCGCACAUGCCGGUGAAUCUCGACUACUGCCUUGAAAACAGCAGCUUUUUUAACCACAAGAAGAAUGGCACUCUUCUCUCAAUGCAACACAGGUCACAGGAUAGCACAGUUUUCUUCCAGAUUUCACCUUUCUGGAGCUGCCUGUUCAGUACCGUGGCUACAGUUGCCCUAGGAAUCUUGAUAAGCUGCGCAGCAGGUGAGAACCGACAGCGUCGAGCAGAUUCGACUCUUUUAAACAGCUGGUUUGUAAAAAUGUGGAAGAAACUAGGAAUUAUGGAGCGCGACGAACAG